rnacentral:rRNA from 1 species
AUACGUAGGGGGCGAGCGUUGUCCGGAAUGAUUGGGCGUAAAGGGCGCGUAGGCGGCGCGGUAAGUCUGGAGUGAAAGUCCUGCUUUCAAGGUGGGAAUUGCUUUGGAUACUGCCGCGCUUGAGUGCAGGAGAGGUUAUCGGAAUUCCCGGUGUAGCGGUGAAAUGCGUAGAGAUCGGGAGGAACACCAGUGGCGAAGGCGGGGAACUGGACUGCAACUGAGGCUGAGGCGCGAAAGUGUGGGGAGCAAACAGGAUUAGAUACCCUGGUAGUCCACACUGUAAACGAUGAAUGCUAGGUGUAAGAGGUAUCGACCCCUUUUGUGCCGGAGUCAACACAAUAAGCAUUCCGCCUGGGGAGUACGGCCGCAAGGUUGAAACUCAAAUGAAUUGACGGGG